rnacentral:rRNA from 1 species
UACGUAGGGUGCGAGCGUUAAUCGGAAUUACUGGGCGUAAAGCGUGCGCAGGCGGUCUCGUAAGCUGGGUGUGAAAGCCCCGGGCUUAACCUGGGAACGGCAUUCAGGACUGCGAGGCUCGAGUGUGGCAGAGGGAGGUGGAAUUCCACGUGUAGCAGUGAAAUGCGUAGAGAUGUGGAGGAACACCGAUGGCGAAGGCAGCCUCCUGGGCCAGCACUGACGCUCAUGCACGAAAGCGUGGGGAGCAAGCAGG